CCCUGGUUAGCUCAGUUGGUAGAGCGCUCCACCUGUAAUGGAGAGGUCCCAGGUUCGAUACCCGGACCAGGCG
rfam:Ixodes scapularis strain Wikel colony gcontig_1108378592372, whole genome shotgun sequence.